rnacentral:rRNA from 1 species
UAGAGUUUGAUUAUGGCUCAGGACGAACGCUGGCGGCGUGCUUAACACAUGCAAGUCGAACGGAAAGGCCCCCUUGUGGGGUACUCGAGUGGCGAACGGGUGAGUAACACGUGAGUAACCUACCCUUGACUUUGGGAUAACUUCAGGAAACUGGGGCUAAUACCGGAUAGGAGCUCCUGCUGCAUGGUGGGGGUUGGAAAGUUUCGGCGGUUGGGGAUGGACUCGCGGCUUAUCAGCUUGUUGGUGGGGUAGUGGCUCACCAAGGCUUUGACGGGUAGCCGGCCUGAGAGGGUGACCGGCCACAUUGGGACUGAGAUACGGCCCAGACUCCUACGGGAGGCAGCAGUGGGGAAUAUUGCACAAUGGGCGGAAGCCUGAUGCAGCAACGCCGCGUGCGGGAUGACGGCCUUCGGGUUGUAAACCGCUUUCGCCUGUGACGAAGCGUGAGUGACGGUAAUGGGUAAAGAAGCACCGGCUAACUACGUGCCAGCAGCCGCGGUAAU